CAGGCGACCCCCUGUCCUUCCCCAACAGCAGUGCCAGGCCUGCCCCGGGAGGUCAGGGCUCCCCAAAUCUGCGUCAGGAGAGGCGGCCACCAGCUCCUUGGAAGGGAUGGAGUCAAGAGUCUCCAGGGCAGGACCAGCAGGGGACUGCUGAUUAGUUCUGGGGGGCUCUAAUGUGGACCCCUGGUUAUAAGACUCGGAUGAUACACAGGAUUUGUAUCCUGCUGUCUUUUUAAUUCCCUGAAGAAAACAUUAAAAUGUUAAAUAAAAGCGGUGGACAAAGAAGGGAACUAUCACAAAGGGAUUCCUGCAGGAGGGGAAAGGUGCCAGCUGAUACCAACAAUGUUCUUCGAUGCUGUGGAAACUUCUAGAACCCAGACCAAAAAAAGGAAAAAGAGGCCAGGUACAGUGGCUCAUGCCUGUAAUCCCAGCACUCUGGGAGGCCGAGACAGGCAGAUCACUUGAGGUCAGGAGUUCGAGACCAGCCUGGCCAACAUGGCGAAACCCUGUCUCUACUAAAAAUACAAAAAUUAGGCGUGGUGGCAGGCACCUGUAGUCCCAGCUACUCAGGAGGUUGAGGCAGGAGAAUCGCUUGAAUCCAGGACGCGGAGGUUGCAGUGAGCUGAUAUCAGACCACUGCACUCUAGCCUGGGUGACACAAUGAGACUCUGUCUCAAAAAAACAAAACAAAAAAAACAAAGAGAAAAAGAAAAAGAGGAGAGGAAGAGUGUGGGCCCCUGGGAGAGGUGGCCCUCUGAUCUGUCUGUGCUGCUGUCAUGACACCUCACGCAGGACAGUCUUAUCCCAGAGACUGUUCCCUUCCGCCCCCUCAGGCUUUGUACCCAUCCAGACAUCUGCCCCGGCUCCUCCCUUGCAGAACCUGGCAGAGUGAGUGUGGCACGGAUGGGAGUCCCCAACCCCCACACAAGGAUGCGGUUCCUCUGCAGGCUGUGGACCAGCAUCCGGCUGAACCCUGGACUCGAGUUAUGCAUGUUUCUGUCUCAGCCUGCGAGCGCUGCCCAGCGCUCUGCUGCUGGACCUGACACGGCCACUGGGCCAGGCUGAGGCUGUGUGCACCCCCAGGGCUGCCGAGCCACUCACUGACCCUCUGUCCACACUGCUCACCAACACCUGCCCUGGAAGCCUGCUUCUCCUUGCUAAAGACCAGUGUGAGGGCUCUGAAGGAAGAACAUUACUAACCCCACCAAGCUCACUUUGUCAUUUCUAUAAACCCUGUCCAUGUGCACAGGGGUUCUGCUUUCCACUAUCAACAUUUCCUCCCCAGCAGUCAGUUACUAUUUGUAGCAGAUGCAUAAUGUUCCAUCCUCCUGAGGUAUCACAGCUCAUUUACUAAGUAUCACCCCGCUGUAGGACAGGUUGUUUCCAGUUCUUUGCUAGUUAGUAACUGCAUCGGUAUGAAACAUUUUUUGUGCAUACAAAAAUCAGCCUGCUGUGGUGGCGCACACCUGUAGUCCCAGCUACUUGGGAGGCUGAGGUGGGAGGAUGGCUUGAGCCCAGGACGCAGAGGCUUGCAGUGAGCCGAGAUCGUGCCACUGCACUCCAGCCUCUGCAACAAAGCAAGACUGUCUCAAAAAGAAAAAAAGCAGCUGACACUUUUUAGAUAUUCACUACAGGCCAAGUACUAGUUUAAGUGCAUUCUGUGUUUUCACUUUUUCUUUUUUUUUUUAAGAGACAGGGUCUUGCUCUGUUGCCCAGGUAGUACAGUUGCGACCACAACUCAGUGCAGCCUCAAACUCCUGGGCUCAAACAAUCCUUGUGUCAGCCGCCCGAAUGAAUAGCUGGGAUUACAGAUGCACGCCACCAUAUUUGGCCAAUUUUUUUUUUUGAAACGGAGUUUUGCUCUUAUUGCCCAGGCUGGAACGCAAUGGUGCGGUCUUGGCUCACUACAACUUCUGCUUCCUGGGUUCAAGCAAUUGUCC
rnacentral:lncRNA from 1 species